AUUGAACGCUGGCGGCAGGCCUAACACAUGCAAGUCGAACGAGUGGCGGACGGGUGAUUAAUGUCUGGGAAACUGCCUGAUGGAGGGGGAUAACUACUGGAAACGGUAGCUAAUACCGCAUACCAUCACAUGUGCACAGAUGGGAUUAGCUUGUUGGUGGGGUAACGGCUCACCAAGGCGACGAUCCCUAGCUGGUCUGAGAGGAUGACCAGCCACACUGGAACUGGGACACGGUCCAGACUCCUACGGGAGGCAGCAGUAGGGAAUAUUCGGCAAUGGACGAAAGCCUGACCCAGCAAUGCCGCGUUAGUGAAGAAGGUUUUCGGAUCGUAAAACACUGUCAUUAGAGAAGCGGUAUCUAACGAGAAAGCACCGGCUAACUCCGUGCCAGCAGCCGCGGUAAUUC
rnacentral:rRNA from 1 species